UCAGGCCUACGGGACGCAGCAGUGGGGAAUAUUGCACAAUGGGGGAAACCCUGAUGCAGCGACGCCGCGUGAGUGAAGAAGUAUUUCGGUAUGUAAAGCUCUAUCAGCAGGGAAGAAGCAAGACGGUACCUGACUAAGAAGCCCCGGCUAACUACGUGCCAGCAGCCGCGGUAAUACGUAGGGGGCAAGCGUUAUCCGGAUUUACUGGGUGUAAAGGGAGCGCAGGCGGCCUGGCAAGCCUGAUGUGAAAUACCGGGGCCCAACCCCGGGGCUGCAUUGGGAACUGCCAGGCUGGAGGGCCGGAG
rnacentral:rRNA from 1 species